ACUUAGCGUUGUGCCUGGCACAUAGUGUAUGGUGGAUAAAUGGGACUUAGGACUAAAACUCAUGCCUUGGUGUGUUUUUGCAGUGAUGUUUUGUUCUGGGGUGCAUCACAAGAGACAAGGUUCUUGGCCGGGCAUGGUGGCUCAAGCCAAUAAUCCCAGCACUUUGAGAGGCCGAAGGGGGAGGAUCGCUUGAGCCCAGGAGUUUAAGACCAGCCUGGGCAAC
rnacentral:lncRNA from 1 species